rnacentral:sRNA from 1 species
AGCAGCCGCGGUAAUUCCAGCUCCAAUAGCGUAUAUUAAAGUUGUUGCAGUUAAAAAGCUCGUAGUUGAAUUUCGGGGUCAGUAGGUCGGUCGUGCCACAGGUAUGCACUGGUCUCACUGAUUCCUCCUUCCUGAUGAACCGUAAUGCCAUUAAUUUGGUGUUGCGGGGAGACUGGACUGUUACUUUGAAAAAUUAGAGUGUUUAAAGCAGGCUAACGCUUGAAUACAUUAGCAUGGAAUAACGGAAUAGGACGUUCGAUCUUAUUUUGUUGGUUUCUAAGAUUGACGUAAUGAUUAAUAGGGAUAGUUGGGGGCAUUAGUAUUCAAUUGUCAGAGGUGAAAUUCUUGGAUUUAUUGAAGACUAACUACUGCGAAAGCAUUUGCCAAGGAUGUUUUCAUUAAUCAAGAACGAAAGUUAGGGGAUCGAAGACGAUCAGAUACCGUCGUAGUCUUAACCAUAAACUAUGCCGACUAGGGAUCGGAUGAUGUUAAUUUUUAAUGACUCAUUCGGCGCCUUAAC